CUUUUGUCAUCAUCAUCAUCAUCAUCAUCAUCAUCAUCCAUAGAAGCUCUGUAAAAAGGACAGGGAGGAAAGGUGGCACUUCCUCUUGGCCAGGAUUUCAGGAGCAUCCCUGUAGCUCUCCUCAUCUGCUAUCCCUGCCAGGGCCAGCACACAGGUGGCCAGCUCCUGAGAGAUGUAGGAAGAUAAAUUGCAUCUGUCUUCCAGGAGAGUUACAAAUUCAGCAGAAUGUCAAGCUGGGAAGGCAAGAAGGGAAGCAUCUCUGAGAGCAGCUCCACAGAGCAGCCUGCACACGCUGGAAGACUGCAGGCUUCCGGAAGAGGCAGACAGGACACAGGCUCCUGCUCUGCUUUGCCACACCUGUCAGCUCAUCCUCCUCUGGCGUUAACCACCACGCUUACACUGUUGCCGGAAACACGAGUCCUCCCACAGCUACAGAUAUGCAACCUAGGAAAUAUUUUUCUUCCUACGGGCUUUUGUCUCAGAAAAUGUUAAUAAGCUGCAAGAAUUCGCGGUGGUUGGAUGGAAUCUCUCUCUUCUUUCCUUCCAUUGUAAUGUCACAGCAGUGCCCCAUCACAUCCACUCCGUGCCAUGACCAACAUGCUUCCUUUUUGCAGCGCUUCUCCCAUCUCU
rnacentral:lncRNA from 12 species